rnacentral:rRNA from 1 species
GUGGGGAAUAUUGCGCAAUGGGGGAAACCCUGACGCAGCAACGCCGCGUGAAGGAUGAAGGUUUUCGGAUCGUAAACUUCUUUGAUGGGGGACGAACAAUGACGGUACCCCAAAAACAAGCCACGGCUAACUACGUGCCAGCAGCCGCGGUAAUACGUAGGUGGCGAGCGUUGUCCGGAAUUACUGGGUGUAAAGGGCGUGUAGGCGGGAAUACAAGUCAGAUGUGAAAUACCGUGGCUCAACCACGGGGCUGCAUCUGAAACUGUAUUUCUUGAGUGUCGGAGAGGAAAGUGGAAUUCCCAGUGUAGCGGUGAAAUGCGUAGAUAUUGGGAGGAACACCAGUGGCGAAGGCGACUUUCUGGACGACAACUGACGCUGAGGCGCGAAAGCGUGGGGAGCAAACAGGAUUAGAAACCCCUGUAGUCC